CCAAAAAAAAGCCUGGUGACAGAGUGAGACCCUGUCUCAAAAACAAACAAACAAACAAACAAACAAAAAACAACCACCUUAUUUUUACCUAUUGUACCUCUACUUAACCAAAAUUGGACUAUAAAGGUAUAAAAGGCAAACAAGUCUUGUUAACUGACUAUUCCAGUUAAUGGAUUUAUCACACAUCUGAUGAUGUCUUGAGCCUUGGCUUACCUCCCUGUGUAAAGAGGAGGUGGGACAAGAUAAGGCUGAUUCAUGGUCCCUGCCAGGAAUGCACCUGGAUGGCCCUAUGAUUCCCUCAUCGCUCAUCACUUCUCGGUGGUACUGAAAGGCAGUUGAUACCUGUUUGAAUUGUGUCAAUCAGAAAAGGCAAUGUGCCGAGUUUGUUAAUGCCAACCUAAACAACUUCUCAGUUGCUCUGUCAGCGCUGUCAGUACCCUGGGCCUUGUUGUGGAGCAGAAAAAAAAAAAUGCUUAAGCAUGUCUCCCCAACCCUUUCUUUAAAGGUGCUGCAGGGCUGUGGAGCUGGGGUUGUUUCAGUAUUAGCUGUCUCAGGAAGCCAGCUUUGUUGUUCACACCUGUCCUGGGCACCUUUGCAUAGUCAACAACUGAGUCUCUCUCCCAUCAGUCACUCCUUUGGAAACUGCUCUUUCUCCUCUAAAAUUAAGCCUUUGAGCUUUUGCUUCUCAACAUUUCAUACUGAUAGUAUCAAAAGGGCAUUAACUUUCUCAGAAGUGACAUAUUAAGCUGAAGAAUUCCGAUGGUGUGAUUUCAAUGACCUAACUGCAUGUCAGUCACGUUGCACGUUGAGAUGGCCUCAAGCGGCUCCAACAGGGCAGCAAUUGUGCAAGAAGCUGACACUUCCCAGCUUCAGUCAUCAGCUUGGGCUUUCUACUCUCUCCUUCUGGUAGGUGAGUCUCAUCUUGGCCCCAAAUUCAUUGGUCGUGGUCCCACAUAUAGAAGGAGUUAAAGGCAGAGGCACAAUUCAGGGGCAGAGGGAGAAAAUGGACUGAGUUCCCAUGCCAGGAGUCAUGCCAAGCACUUUAAAAUUUCUCCUUUUAAUCUACAUAUGUCACCACGAGUAAGAGUGUUUUUAUCUUCAUUUUAUAGAUGGGGGCAGGGAGGCGACUAUUAAAUGUUAAAGCUGGGCCUCCAACCCAGAUCUGUCAGAUUCCAAAAGAAAAAUCCUUGGAUCUUUUUAAGCUUGAUGCUUUCUUAUUUUUUUUAGGACGAAACACUGGAACUCUCCAGAAUAAAUUGGUACCUGGGUCUCUUCCAAAGUGAGUUGCUCUUAGGAGCUUCAAAUGAGGGUCUUUGAAGCCACAUGAAAAUUGAUGAGUGGUUGUAAUAUCCAAGGUACCAAAUCAGACACACUUGUAAUUGUUCCCAAUAGUUUCUUAGCAGGCAUUUUGGAGGAAAAGAUUUGGAUCAGAAAUUCAGAAAUUACCUGGGCUCACAAAAAUAUGCCCCUCCAGCACCAUCCUGCCUUCUGCUUCCAAGAUGCAUGAGCUUUCUGAAGAGCUGGUGAGAAUAUUGAAACUUCCUGGCCUUGGUUUCCCAUCUGGUAAAACGAGGAAGACCAAAGCUUAACCCUCACAAGGAAUAUGUAGAUGAGGAAACUGAAGCUCUUGGGGUAACAUGACUUGUGAAACUGCAUGCUUCUCCUCAGUGGCAGGGCGGGGACUCUGGAUGGAGGAACUGCCAAGACCUUCUAGAUCUCUGACAUGCAUAAACUGGCACGUUUAGAGAAUAACGAGGAAAACAAAGUAAAACAAAAGACGGUACCUGUGUGCUAAGAAUUUAUUACCCCCACAUCAAAAAACUUAUCCACCACGAUCAAGUCGGCUUCAUCCCUGGGAUGCAAGGCUGGCUCAGCAUAUGCAAAUCAAUAAAUGUAAUCCAUCACAUAAACAGAACCAGAGACAAAAACCACAUGGUUAUCUCAAUAGAUGCAGAAAAGGCCUUUGAUAAAAUUCAACAUCCCUUCAUGUUAAAAACCCAAUAAAUUAGAUAUUGAUGGAACAUAUCUCAAAAUAAAAGAGCUAUUUAUGACAAACCCACAGCCAAUAUCAUAUUGAAUGGGCAAAAGCUGGAAGCAUUCCCUUUGAAUACUAGUACAAGAUGAGGAUGCCCUAUUCUCACCACUCUAUUCAACCUAGUAUUGAAGUUCUGGCCAGGGCAAUCAGGUAAGAGAAAGAAAAAAAAGCAUAUUCUAAUAGGAAGAGAGGAAGUCAAAUUGUCUCUGUUUGCAGACAACAUGAUUGUGUAUUUAGAAAACCCCAUCGUCUCACCCCAAAAACUCCUUAAGCUGUGAGAAACUUCAGCAAAGUCUCAGGGUACGAAAUCAAUGUGCAAAAAUCACAAGCAUUCCUUUACAUCAACAAUAGACAAGCAGGGAGCCAAAUCAUGAAUAAACUCCCAUUCACAAUUGCUAGAAAGAGAGUAAAAUACCUAGGAAUACAGCUAACAAGGGAUGUGAAGGACCUUUUCAAGGAGAACUACAAACUACUGCUCAAGGAAAUAAGAGAGGACACAAACAAAUGGAAAAACAUUCCAUCCUCAUGGAUAGGAAGAAUCAAUAUCAUGAAAAUGGCCAUACUGUCCAAUGUAAUUUAUAGAUUCAAUGCUAUCUCCAUCAAGCUACCAUUGACAUUCUUCACAGAAUUAGAAAAAAACUACUUUAAAUUUCCUAUGGAAGCAAAGAAGACCCUGUAUAGCUAAGAAAAGCCUAAGGAAAAAGAACAAAGUUAGAGGCAUCAAACUACCUGACUUCAAAUUAUACUACAGGCUACAGUAACCAAAACAGCAUGGUACUGGUACCAAAACAAACAUAUAGACCAAUGGAACAGAACAGAGACCUCAGAAAUAACACCACACAUCUACAACCAUCUGAUCUUUGAUAAACCUGACAAAAACAAGCAAUAGGGAAAGGAUCUCCUAUUCAUUAAAUGUUGCUGGGAAAACUGUCUAGCCAUAUGCAGAAAACUGAAACUGGAUCACCUUUCCUUAUACUUUACACAAAAAUUAACUCAGGAUGAAUUAAAGACUUAAAUGUAAAACCCCAAACCAUAAAAACCCUAGAAGAAAACCUAGGCAAUAGCAUUCAGGACAUAGGCAUGGGCAAAGACUUCAUGAUGAAAACGCCAAAAGCAAUUGCAACAAAAGCCAUAAGUGACAAAUGGGAUCUAAUUAAACUAAAGAGUUUCUGCACAGCAAAACAAGCUAUCAGUACAGUGAACAGGCAGCCUACAGAAUGGGAGAAAAAUUUUGCGAUCUAUCCAUCCGACAAAGGCCUAAUAUCCAGCAUCUAUAAGGGACUUAAACAAA